rnacentral:rRNA from 1 species
CGCCAACCAGCUAGCCCACCUCAAUAAAACCAACAAUUCAAUAUUAAUAACCCCAAACACACCACCUUCCAAUAAACAAACCAUUUUUCCCCCCUAGUAUGGGCGACAGAAAAGGAAUAACGGAGCAAUAGAGAAAGUACCGCAAGGGAACGCUGAAAGAGGAAUGAAAAAACUCAGUGAAGCUUAAAGAAGCAGAGAUUUUACCUCGUACCUUUUGCAUCAUGAUUUAGUUAGUAUUACCCGAGCAGAGAGCACUUUAGUUUGGACCCCCGAAACUACGUGAGCUACUCCAAGACAGCCUAUUAAUAGGGCAAACCCGUCUCUGUGGCAAAAGAGUGGGAAGAACUUUGAGUAGAGGUGACAGACCUACCGAACCUAGUUAUAGCUGGUUACCUGAGACUUGGAUAGGAGUUCAGCCUCCUAGCUUCUCUAUUCACCACGGUCUCACCCCUACCGAUAUUUUAAGAAGCUAAGAGAGUUAAUCAAAGGGGGUACAGCCCCUUUGAAACAAGAUACAACUUUUCCAGGAGGAUAAAGAUCACAAUCACCAAAGGUAACAAUGCCCCGGUGGGCCUAAAAGCAGCCACCCUUAUAGAAAGCGUUAAAGCUCAAGCAUUACCUCAACCCAUACAUUUAGAUAACCAAAUCUUAAUCCCCUAACAUUAUCAGGUCGUCUCAUGCAAACAUGAGAGCGCACAUGCUAAUAUGAGUAAUAAGAGAGCACCCGCCUCUCUCCUCGCACACGUGUAAAUCGGAACGGACCCCCACCGAAACUUAACGGCCCCAAACAAAGAGGGAAGUGAACAGCAAGUAAGCAACUAGAAAAUCAUCCAACCAACAACCGUUAACCCCACACUGGUGUGCCCCCGAGGAAAGACUAAAGGAAAAAGAAGGAACUCGGCAAACAUACAUAAGCCUCGCCUGUUUACCAAAAACAUCGCCUCUUGCAAAAAUAAAGAAUAAGAGGUCCAGCCUGCCCUGUGACUAUAUGUUUAACGGCCGCGGUAUUUUAACCGUGCGAAGGUAGCGUAAUCACUUGUCUUUUAAAUGAAGACCUGUAUGAAUGGCAUAACGAGGGCUUAACUGUCUCCUUUUUCAAGUCAAUGAAAUUGAUCUCCCCGUGCAGAAGCGGGGAUGAGAACAUAAGACGAGAAGACCCUAUGGAGCUUUAGACACCAAGGCAUAUCAUGUUAACUAUACCUAAUUAAAGGAUAAAACCAAAUGAACCAUGCCCGUAUGUCUUUGGUUGGGGCGACCGCGGGGAAAUAUAAAACCCCCACGUGGAAUGGGAGUACUAACUCCUACAACCAAGAGCUGCAGCUCUAACAAACAGAAUUUCUGACCAACAAGAUCCGGCAAUGCCGAUCAACGGACCGAGUUACCCUAGGGAUAACAGCGCAAUCCCCUUUUAGAGCCCAUAUCGACAAGGGGGUUUACGACCUCGAUGUUGGAUCAGGACAUCCUAAUGGUGCAGCCGCUAUUAAGGGUUCGUUUGUUCAACGAUUAAAGUCCUACGUGAUCUGAGUUCAGACCGGAGUAAUCCAGGUCAGUUUCUAUCUAUGACGUGUUUUUUUCUAGUACGAAAGGACCGAAAAGAAGAGGCCAAUACUCAAAGCACGCCUCACCCCUCCUAUUGAAAACAACUAAAAUAGGCAAAAGGGCACACCCCUAAAUGCCCAAGAUAAUGGCAU